GAUGGACGCUGGCGGCGUGCCUAAUACAUGCAAGUCGAGCGAACGGACGAGAAGCUUGCUUCUCUGAUGUUAGCGGCGGACGGGUGAGUAACACGUGGAUAACCUACCUAUAACACUGGGAUAACUUCGGGAAACCGGAGCUAAUACCGGAUGAUAUUUUGAACCGCAUGGUUCAAAAGUGAAAGACGGUCUUGCUGUCACUUAUAGAUGGAUCCGCGCUGCAUUAGCUAGUUGGUAAGGUAACGGCUUACCAAGGCAACGAUGCAUAGCCGACCUGAGAGGGUGAUCGGCCACACUGGAACUGAGACACGGUCCAGACUCCUACGGGAGGCAGCAGUAGGGAAUCUUCCGCAAUGGGCGAAAGCCUGACGGAGCAACGCCGCGUGAGUGAUGAAGGUCUUCGGAUCGUAAAACUCUGUUAUUAGGGAAGAACAUAUGUGUAAGUAACUGUGCACAUCUUGACGGUACCUAAUCAGAAAGCCACGGCUAACUACGUG
rnacentral:rRNA from 1 species